UACGUAGGGGGCGAGCGUUGUCCGGAUUUAUUGGGCGUAAAGAGCUUGUAGGCGGUCUGUCGCGUCUGCUGUGAAAAUCCGGGGCUCAACCCCGGACUUGCAGUGGGUACGGGCAGACUAGAGUGUGGUAGGGGAGACUGGAAUUCCUGGUGUAGCGGUGAAAUGCGCAGAUAUCAGGAGGAACACCGAUGGCGAAGGCAGGUCUCUGGGCCAUAACUGACGCUGAGAAGCGAAAGCAUGGGGAGCGAACAGG
rnacentral:rRNA from 1 species